rnacentral:rRNA from 1 species
CCUACGGGCGGCAGCAGUGAGGAAUAUUGGUCAAUGGGCGCGAGUCUGAACCAGCCAAGUAGCGUGAAGGAUGACUGCCCUACGGGUUGUAAACUUCUUUUAUAUAGGCAUAAAGUGAGGCACGUAUGCCUUUUUGUAUGUACUUUAUGAAUAAGGAUCGGCUAACUCCGUGCCAGCAGCCGCGGUAAUACGGAGGAUCCGAGCGUUAUCCGGAUUUAUUGGGUUUAAAGGGAGCGUAGAUGGGUUGUUAAGUCAGUUGUGAAAGUUUGCGGCUCAACCGUAAAAUUGCAAUUGAUACUGGCAGCCUUGAGUACAGUAGAGGUGGGCGGAAUUCGUGGUGUAGCGGUGAAAUGCUUAGAUAUCACGAAGAACUCCGAUUGCGAAGGCAGCCUACUAAACUGCCACUGACAUUGAUGCUCGAAAGUGUGGGUAUCAAACAGGAUUAGAUACCCUUGUAGUC